GCCGCGCUUGUUGCCAUAGCGACCGUCUUACGUUAACUGGUUAGUAUUUUUCAUCCUGGCGGCCUGCUAACUGCGGGGGACCGGUCUCCCGCCAAUUUCUUUUGGCACCAAGCGGGCUCAAAGGUAACCUUAGCCUGCUCCCGGAUUCUGGCCUUGGGGUUCCGUUGUGCCCCGCCUGGCCGUCCGUGAUGGCUGCAGAAGAAGAAGAUGAAGUGGAAUGGGUGGUGGAGAGCAUCGCUGGCUUCCUACGAGGCCCAGACUGGUCCAUUCCCAUCUUGGACUUUGUGGAACAGAAAUGUGAAGUUUUUGAUGAUGAAGAAGAAAGCAAAUUAACCUAUACAGAGAUUCAUCAGGAAUACAAAGAACUAGUUGAAAAGCUAUUGGAAAGUUACCUCAAAGAAAUUGGAAUUAAUGAAGAUCAGUUUCAAGAAGCAUGCACUUCUCCUCUUGCUAAGACCCGCACAUCACAGGCAAUCUUGCAGCCUGUUUUGGCUGCUGAAGACUUUACUAUCUUUAAGGCAAUGAUGGUCCAGAAAAACAUUGAAAUGCAGCUUCAAGCCAUUCGAAUAAUUCAAGAGAGAAAUGGUGUGUUACCUGACUGCUUAACAGAUGGUUCUGAUGUGGUCAGUGACCUUGAACAGGAAGAAAUGAAAAUCCUGAGGGAAGUUCUUAGAAAAUCAAAAGAAGAGUAUGACCUGGAAGAAGAAAAGAAGAGAAAAAAUCAGUUGUCAGAGGCUAAAACAGAAGAGCCCCCAGUGCAUGCUGGUGAAGCUUCAAUAAUAAAUCGUUCUCAAAGAGAUGGUGAACAUUUUGAACACCCACCCUCAGAAAAUAAAAUUCAACUUGGGAAUCAGUCAAUACAACCUUUGACAAGAAAGCCCGAAUUAUUGCCUGAAACUUCCUCCCUGCCACAAAAAAGCCUGAAGACUCCUGGUUUAGAACAUGCAAACAUUGAAGGAUCAAUAGCAAACUUAUCUGCACUUGGAGCUGAAGAGCUCAGACAGCGAGAACAUUAUCUCAAGCAGAAGAGAGAUAAGUUGAUGUCCAUGAGAAAAGAAUUUAGAACUAAGCAAACACAAAAUUCAGAGCAGAAAGAUCAUGAAGGUGUUGUGGAGGUAUGAUUAGUCUUGUCAAAAUUUGCAAACUUAGAGGCAAAAUAAUUUAGGUAUGUAUAAGAAAGAAAUAACUUGAAAUUGUCAUAUUAACUUGUUAAGUAGAACUGCUUUUUUUUUUUUUUUGGAGGUAAUCAUUUUCACUAACUAUAUCCAUUUGGAAGUUUCUUUUCAAUCUAAAUCUUUUGAAAGCUUUUCCUAUAAAGCAGCAUCAGUAUCAUAGUUUACCACAUCUUCAAGAGGCUUCAUAUGUAGGAACUCAUUCUGAGGGCCUGAUAAUACAGAGGUAGGGCAUUUGCCUUGCGUGAGACUGACCAGGAAGGACCUGGGUUCGAUUCCCAGCAUUCCAUGUGGUCCCCAGAGCCAGUAGUGAUUUCUGAGUGCACAGAGCUAGGAGUA